rnacentral:rRNA from 1 species
AAUACGGUAUGAUAAGUGAUUUAAUAAAUGGCGGUCGCACAUAAUUUAGACCUGCAUUGCUUUUCACGCCUCAGUGCUUAAAUUCCAGAAUGUCGUUGACGUGACUAGUGAUAUUCUCGCUCCUUACUGUUCGAGCCUGGACUUCACUUCCCUGGCUUAUCAUACCGA